AUGAAGCAUUGUAUUCAAGUGCUCAAGGAUGUAGAGGAUGAUGAUGUUGUUAGUAUAAAUAGGACAUGGCUGCUAUUAUGUAUGGCUCUUGUGCUAUCUCCUGGGACUGGCAACAUGGUACCCCUAGAGUAUCUUGCGAGUUUGGUGGACAUGGACAAGAUUGAUGAGUUUGCAUGGGAUGGGCACUUCUUGGUUGUUGUGUUAAAGGAGGUGAAGAAGUACCAACGGAAGAGGGAGGCAGGGAAACGUGGCUUUUGGAUCGGCGGUUGUCUGCCAAUGUUUGCGAUAAUUUAUAUGGACUUUGUCUAUGUGACUCGGGUGUUGGUUUCGGAGCAUAGAAUUGACUACUCUCUCCCAAGGGCAUGUUUUGUAUGCAACAAAGACUUCGAUUUGGUAGAAGAAAUUGAUAAGAACAAGCUCAAACUUGAUAAGAUUGAAUUUGGGAAACGGAAUCUUCGUCGUUUGCCAGAGACGCCAUAUGUAUCUCUUGAGGGCUACAAUGAAGCUGAUCGCGAGAACAACACUGCGGAGGGAGCUAGUGGAGAUGCAAACAUUCCCGAGAUACCUCCAAGCAAACCAGUCAUGGAUGGGAGCGAGAUUGGUGGCGAUGUGUGUGGGUCUCUAGAUGAGUGGCUGCACCCACUGCCUUCAAGUCAAGAAUUGGUAACGAGGCUCCUGCCACCGAGACCUUCAGAAGCACCACCACUUUCACCUUCGGGCUUCCCUGCGUGGACACACUGGAAAACCCGCCUGAUAAGUGUCGGAGGACCCUUCUUUUGGCUGUUUUUAGAAGCACUUAUGCGCGUGCCAAAGCCCAUCUUGAAUGCAUAUUCAUUGUACAAUGUUUUGGCAUCGUCAACAGAGUCAAACUCCAUGCCAACAUAG
rnacentral:rRNA from 1 species